rnacentral:lncRNA from 1 species
UCUCUGCUUGUCUAGGGGGAUGUCUCUAGUUACCUUAUUAAAGACAGAAUGAAUAAAUUUUUUUGUUAUCCCUAAUAUUCUUUUUUACUUUUUAAAAUUGAAGCAUAGUCGAUUUACAGUGUUGUAUUAGUUUCAGGUAUAUAUAUUUUAUAUAUAUAUAUAGGGGUUGGCCUACACCACAGCCACAGCAACUCGGGAUCUGACCUGCGUCACCCAUGCUGCUCGGAUCCUGCGUUGCUGUGGCUGCAGCAUAGGCCAGCAGCUGUAGCUCUUACUCGACUCCUAGCCUGGGAACAUCCAUAUGCUGUGCAUGCAGCCCUAAAAAGCAAAAAAAAAUAAAGGCAUUCCCAUUGCUGCUUAAUAGAUUAAGGACCCGACCUUGUCUCUUUCAGGAUCCAGGUUCCAUCCUUGGCCUUGCUCAGUGGGUCAAAGAUCUGGCAUUGCCGCAGUUUGCGACCCCUAGUCUGGGAACUUCUAUAUGCUGCCGUUGUGGCCAUAAAAAGAAAAGUAUAAUGAGAUAAUGAUGACUAAGAUAAGAGAGAAAUAAGGCAGAGUUAGUUAGAUGUAGAAAAUGUGUGCCUAUGGGAUGAAAAUUUGGCUCUAGUCUUCCUAGCAACCAAGGCAAAGAGGAAAAUCUCAUUUGGUUACAUAAUUUUUAAAAAUAAAGUUUCUUAGAAGGAGCUAGUUUGUCCCUGGCACUGAGAUCAGAAUUAAGGUUUCUCACAGGUACGCCUAAAGAGGAUAUUUUGAGCUCCAAUGAUCAAUUUCCUCAAGUGCCCCAAGGUGACUACCACUGAAUUAUAUAGGACUGCUUUAUAGAACAUCUCUCAUCAUUGGCAUUUUGCCAAACUAUCAUUCUAUAAAGGAAAAGAAAGAACAUCCAGGCAAUUCUCCAUUUAUAUUAUGUAUUUUCAAAUGAGCUUUUGCAAAACAUUAAGCAGCAAAGAGUUGGAGGUCAUCUCUGAUAGGUGACUGGAAUGCAGUUCUUUGCAGAUGGGAAGGUGCAAAGCCACAGCCUUGAAACUGUUCCGUAAGCUUGGGUAGAGAUGACAUUCCUUUAUAUAUAUAAAAAGGAAACCCAAAGACGUGUGAGCCAAAAAGGCCAUCUCCUCCUACAUGUUGAAGAGCAAGUACAUCGGGGAAAAUGGAGAUAAUUCAGGGGAAAGGGAAGAAAAAAAAAAGGUUACCUUAAGAUUCUGCUAUUACCAUAUUACCUUAAGAUUUCUGCUAUUAGGGAGUUCCCUUUGUGGCUCAGUGGUUAACGAACACAACUAGUAUCCAUGAGGAUUUGGGUUAGAUCCCUGGCCUUGCUCAGUGGGCUAAGGAUCCAGCAGUGUUGUGAGCUGUGGUGUAGGUCGCAGACAUAGCUCGGUUCCCCCAUUGCUGUGUGGGUAGGCAGCUGUAGCUCAGAUUCGACUCCUAGCCUGGAAACUUCUGUAUGCCACUGGUGUGGCUCUAAAAAGCAAAAAAAAAAAAAAAAAAAAAAAAAAAAAA